GGCCGACUGGCCCAGUGGUUAAGGCAUUCGCUUUACAUAAUCAGAACGAACGUUCGAGCGCGAAGGAUCCCAGGUUCGAUCCCUGGGUCGGUCA